GGGCGAUUAGCUCAGGGGGAGAGCGCUUCCCUGACACGGAAGAGGUCAGAGGUUCAAAUCCUCUAUCGCCCACCA
rnacentral:tRNA from 1 species